AUCAGGCGGAAGCCGGGGCCCGGGGCUGGGCUUCGUGUCCUGCGUUCCGGGAGCGCCAACCCCUCCAGGGAGAGGCUGUCGAUGCUGAGGCACGAGAGAAUUUGCUCCUGCUCCUCCAGAGAAAAUGGCUGGGACAGGCUGUUGAGGAAUAAUUCUGCAGGGAAAAGUGGAAGAUGGCUGUGAAAGACUGGGAGGAGGCUGGCUAUGUUUUCAGGGGUUCUUCCUGCACAGUCGGUAGAAGCUGAGCUGCUGGGGAAGGGGCUGGAAGAAAGCCCACACCGCAGGUAUCAGUAGCAAAUUCAAAAACUACAGAAUCAGCUCCAGAGGACUUUGUUAACAAGAAAGAGAAGAUUGAAAACAGCCCUGGGGCUACACCAACUCAAGAGCUCCCAGGCAAAGUGGCAUCCUGGACCCACCAUCUCUCCUACCCCAUCCUCAGUUGGUACUUCCCCAGGCACCGUUUGUUCUGGCAUGGGGCGAGUUCAGCCCUGGGACCACCCUCAUCCUUAUAACUACCAGCUGUCUUUGGUGAGGUGCAAGAUCUCUCUGGUUUUCUUUAUUUCAUUUUCAUUCCUAUAAUCACAGCCUUUUUGUGCCCAUCCCUCAGGUGACAUUCUAUUAUGUUUGAUGUGUCAUUUUUGAUUUGGUUGUGUCCUUGCAAAAUGUGCGUUGUUUUAUUUAUCAAUUUAUUUUUAUUUUUAUUUUUUUAAAGAGAUGAGGUCUCAUCAUGUUGCCCAGGCUGGACUCCAACUCCUGGGCUCAAGCGAUCCUUCCACCUCAAUCUUCUGAGUGGCUGGGACUACAGAUGUGCGCCACCAUACCUGGCUAUUGAUCAAUUUUUAGUUUACCAAACAGGCAUUAUGUUCUGGGUCCCAUUCUGUGUCGGGUUCUCUUUUCACUCGGCA
rnacentral:antisense_RNA from 1 species